rnacentral:rRNA from 1 species
GUGCCAGCCGCUGCGGUAAUACGUAGGGUGCAAGCGUUAAUCGGAAUUACUGGGCGUAAAGCGUGCGCAGGCGGUUCGGAAAGAAAGAUGUGAAAUCCCAGGGCUUAACCUUGGAACUGCAUUUUUAACUACCGGGCUAGAGUGUGUCAGAGGGGGGUGGAAUUCCGCGUGUAGCAGUGAAAUGCGUAGAUAUGCGGAGGAACACCGAUGGCGAAGGCAGCCCCCUGGGAUAACACUGACGCUCAUGCACGAAAGCGUGGGGAGCAAACAGGAUUAGAUACCCUGGUAAUCCACGCCCUAAACGAUGUCAACUAGCUGUUGGGGCCUUCGGGCCUUAGUAGCGCAGCUAACGCGUGAAGUUGACCGCCUGGGGAGUACGGUCGCAAGAUUAAAACUCAAAGGAAUUGACGGGACCCGCACAAGCGGUGGAUGAUGUGGAUUAAUUCGAUGCAACGCGAAAAACCUUACCUACCCUUGACAUGUCUGGAAUCCCGAAGAGAUUUGGGAGUGCUCGCAAGAGAACC